UGUACGUCUUCAAUGCAGAUGCGACUUAAUAUUGCUACUUGUUUGAGAUGACAUCCAGUUGAUUUUUGUUUUAAAACCAGAAUUUUGUGAACUUUCAUACGUUAGUAGUCUUGAGUUUUAUGCUUACUGUGUUUCUCCAUGUAGUAUCUCGGCUGACCCAAUGUUUGUAGUAGUUACUUAUAGAAUUACUACAUACCCUUAGUGUUCUGUAAACAUUCAAUGUUCUAGAAAUUUGGCUCCUUCGGCUGUUGUUGGCGGCUUAACUAAAGGAAAAAGAGAUCCCACCCCAGAAAUGGUUGGGGAUGGGGUGCGAAGGAAGAAACGGGGAAAUAUGAAGUAUGUAUGUUUUGGGGCCAAACUUGUGUCCUGAGACCAUAUUAGCAUGGUUAUAAACUCCAACUUGAAGGUCUCUUAUCAUCCGGUCACAUGCAUGUUUACCAUAUAUCUAUUUGAAGUAGCUCUUGCCGUCAAUUUCUGCCUAACGUGACUCGUGCUGUUUCUGCCUUGUUUACCCUGAUAAAAUCAGACGAUAGUUACGUAGCAUCAAUUUCUGUCGAACAGCUUGCAUUGGUCUUCGCGUUGUUUUUCUUAAGUCAACUCAUACCGUAGCUGUGUAGUUGCUCAUUUUAUUUCUACAACUUGUUAAUUGGCAUAUCCACUUGCCUAUACCACAAAAGAGAGGCUGAGAUAAGAAUCAGAUUACUUUACCGAAAUCAAAGACGUUCGAUGACAUGAUUCUUAAUGUUGUAUUUUAAUUAUCCUGUCUCUUAUGGUUACUGAAUCACGAAAUACAUCUCAGUGACAUACUGGUUUAGACCAUCACAAUCUGUCGGGAAAAUCAUUGAAAUCAAUCCAUACAUGGUUGACACUAUGGCUGGAGGUGAUGCUGACUGCCAGUUCUGGCACAGGAACCUGGGAAUUAAGUGCCUGUCUGCAUGAGCCUGCAAAUAGGAGAACGAUAUCUGUCGCCGGGGCAUUGAAGUUGCUAGCCAGUUGUAUUCCUGCCAUGGCAAGGGAUCGUCUGUUGGAACAAUGAUCGCUGGACGGUACACAAAGGCACUGUCAUAAGGACUCUUUGCAUAGUUUUAUCCUGAAUUCUACGUCUUAUUGUAAGUAAUUGGUCGUUCCUUGCAAGGUCCAGGCCUAUACUGUGUGGACAGUGAAGGUGGAUGGCUAAUAGGAACUAUAUUUUCAGUUGGAUCGGGAUCACCAUGUGCUUACGGUGUUUUGGAUGGUACCGGUUUGAUAUGUCUCUUGAAGCAGCAGCUGGGCUGGCCAGACCCGCCGUUUACCAUGCCACAUUCAGAGAUGGCGCCGGUGGUGAUGGUGUCGGUGGUAUGUUUGUAUCUUCGCUCCAUUUUUCUGCUUGUUAGUUGGUCUGGUUUGAGAACAGGGUUUCUGCUCUCGUUGGUUUAUCGUGUAGGACCUAAUGAAUGGAAGAAGCUUUCUGGCGAGGCGAUGAUGUUGGAGAACUUCACCGCACAUAUUAUCCUGUCGAGCAAACGUUAGUGGAGCGGGAAAUGGAUGAGGAUUUAACGUCUUCAGAUACUGAAAAGGGAAGAAGAUUUACGUAUGUAAUUUAAUUAUUCACAAAACGGUCGAAAGAACAGCCAAAGUCGCCACUACAUUCUUCCUCGCGAAUGACUUGGGUUACAGGAGUGGUUCCCGCUGAAGUGACCGCAUCAUUAUUCUCUUGAAAUACCCUUCUUUUUGGCAAAUCGACAAAUAAGUUAAAAAGAGUGGUAUCAGUCUUGCCAAACGACAGAAAAGAUAGAGUAGCUGUCUCGCGGAAGCCUAAAUUCGAGUCAAGGAAGAAUCGGGUCAUCUUCAAAUUCAUACGGUAGUUAUCACCGCUUUUAGGUUCCAGGUUAUGAGUUUUAGAUUGAUAAAUGUAACUUAUAAAAUACUGUGGAUCUAAAUCGGGUUUAAUUCAAAUUUAUUUAUUAUUUUUUA